rnacentral:tRNA from 1 species
ACCUGGGUGUCUCAGUUGGUUAAGCGUCCGACUUCUGCUCAGAUCAUGAUCUCAUGGUUUGUGGGUUCAAGCCCCACCUCAGGCU